CCCUCCCCCACCCCACCCCCACUUUUUUUGGUUGUCGUCUUCUUUGGGGUGGGAGGGGGGAUCCAGUGCUUCCCCUCCCCCACUCACCCCUUUUCUUUUGCGAGUGUCUGCAGCUUCUCUUCCAGGGAUGGAAUUGCAAAAAAGAGCAAGCAGCCCCCUCUGCAGAAGGUUCACAGCUCAAGGCCCAGCCCUGAGCCCAGCCGCAGGUGGGGACCCUGUGGCCUCUUUUCAAGGCUCUGAGGAGGAAGGGACCUUUCUGCUCCUAGGGCUGGGUCACCUGUGCAUCUUCUACAGCAGCCUGGGGCGAAGGCCGUGAAGCAACCGAGGAACCAAAUUGGCUGAGAAUUGUCAUUCAUUUAAAAAAAAAGAAAGAAAGAAA
rnacentral:lncRNA from 1 species